GGAAGUAUAGCCUAAUUGCGUUAAGGCAGCUGUCUUGAAAACAGCCGUGUCGGUGCUGAGCCGGCUUGUGGGUUCGAGUCCUACUACUUCCA
rnacentral:tRNA from 1 species